ACUCCUACGGGAGGCAGCAGUGGGGAAUUUUGGACAAUGGGGGCAACCCUGAUCCAGCCAUCCCGCGUGUGCGAUGAAGGCCUUCGGGUUGUAAAGCACUUUUGGCAGGGAAGAAACAGCCUGGGCUAAUAUCCCGGGCGACUGACGGUACCUGCAGAAUAAGCACCGGCUAACUACGUGCCAGCAGCCGCGGUAAUACGUAGGGUGCAAGCGUUAAUCGGAAUUACUGGGCGUAAAGCGUGCGCAGGCGGUUCGGAAAGAAAGGUGUGAAAUCCCAGGGCUUAACCUUGGAACUGCACUUUUAACUACCGGGCUAGAGUACGUCAGAGGGGGUAGAAUUCCACGUGUAGCAGUGAAAUGCGUAGAGAUGUGGAGGAAUACCGAUGGCGAAGGCAGCCCCUGGCAUGGAUACUGACGCUCAUGCACGAAAGCGUGGGAGC
rnacentral:rRNA from 1 species